UACGAGAGCCCCAAGCGUUAUCCGGAAUUAUUGGGCGUAAAGGGUGCGUAGGUGGUGUUGUUAGUCUUCCGUUAAAAUCCCAGGCUCAACUUGGGAACCGCGGGGGAAACGGCAACACUAGAGAGUGUGAGAGGUGUACGGAACUCAAGGUGUAGGGGUGAAAUCCGUUGAUAUCUUGGGGAACACCAAAGGCGAAGGCAGUACACUGGCACACAUCUGACACUGAAGCACGAAAGCGUGGGUAGCGAAUGGG
rnacentral:rRNA from 1 species